rnacentral:lncRNA from 1 species
GGACUAGGCCACCUCUAUUUAUAUAUGUAUUUGUUUUGUCCCAUAAAAAAACUAACUCUUAAUUAGGGUUAAACUUUCAGUCUAGAUCUGAUUAGAAAUAGAACUCUUUAAUUAAUUGGGCUCACUGUAAUUGAUUCAGUAUAUAUGAUUAACUCAAAGAAUUAAACCUGAAUAAGUGAUAAUUAGGCCAUAUAUUAGGAGUCAAAUCCAACACCAUUAACCUACAAUUUUAUAAUAUAAACUGAAGGGAGCCUAUCAGACCAAAGCUAAAAUGAAACCAUGAUCUCUGAAGACCUGUUUCUGUAUGUACCAUUUAUUUGAACAAUCAUGAUUGAGAAGAAAGUGCUUGGGAUCUUAGAAACAAAGAAUCGGAAAUUCAAAUAUUUCUGGUUAAAUACAUCUCCAAUUUGUGUAAAUAUGAAGGGCAUGUGAGAAUGUCUCACAACCACUGAAAAGUUUCUAGCAAUAGAAUAAUUAGGUUUGACGUUUCGAUCGGGAAUAUCAACCAGCUAAAUAAUGAUAUUGUAGGAUCCAUGCAAGCAUAUGUUUAGUUUCACAUUAUUACACACUAGAUAGAUUUGGGGUAUUUAUGCAGGGAUAAGGAAUUUAAAUAAUACAUUCUUUGCUAUUUAUUUUGGAAG